rnacentral:rRNA from 1 species
CGCUCUGCGUUGCUAUACAUGCAGUCGAACGCGUUGGCCCAAUUGAUUGAUGGUGCUUGCACCUGAUUGAUUUUGGUCGCCAACGAGUGGCGGACGGGUGAGUAACACGUAGGUAACCUGCCCAGAAGCGGGGGACAACAUUUGGAAACAGAUGCUAAUACCGCAUAACAACGUUGUUCGCAUGAACAACGCUUAAAAGAUGGCUUCUCGCUAUCACUUCUGGAUGGACCUGCGGUGCAUUAGCUUGUUGGUGGGGUAAUGGCCUACCAAGGCGAUGAUGCAUAGCCGAGUUGAGAGACUGAUCGGCCACAAUGGGACUGAGACACGGCCCAUACUCCUACGGGAGGCAGCAGUAGGGAAUCUUCCACAAUGGGCGCAAGCCUGAUGGAGCAACACCGCGUGAGUGAAGAAGGGUUUCGGCUCGUAAAGCUCUGUUGUUAAAGAAGAACACGUAUGAGAGUAACUGUUCAUACGUUGACGGUAUUUAACCAGAAAGUCACGGCUAACUACGUGCCAGCAGCCGCGGUAAUACGUAGGUGGCAAGCGUUAUCCGGAUUUAUUGGGCGUAAAGAGAGUGCAGGCGGUUUUCUAAGUCUGAUGUGAAAGCCUUCGGCUUAACCGGAGAAGUGCAUCGGAAACUGGAUAACUUGAGUGCAGAAGAGGGUAGUGGAACUCCAUGUGUAGCGGUGGAAUGCGUAGAUAUAUGGAAGAACACCAGUGGCGAAGGCGGCUACCUGGUCUGCAACUGACGCUGAGACUCGAAAGCAUGGGUAGCGAACAGGAUUAGAUACCCUGGUAGUCCAUGCCGUAAACGAUGAGUGCUAGGUGUUGGAGGGUUUCCGCCCUUCAGUGCCGGAGCUAACGCAUUAAGCACUCCGCCUGGGGAGUACGACCGCAAGGUUGAAACUCAAAGGAAUUGACGGGGGCCCGCACAAGCGGUGGAGCAUGUGGUUUAAUUCGAAGCUACGCGAAGAACCUUACCAGGUCUUGACAUCUUGCGCCAACCCUAGAGAUAGGGCGUUUCCUUCGGGAACGCAAUGACAGGUGGUGCAUGUCGUCGUCAGCUCGUGUCGUGAGAUGUUGGGUUAAGUCCCGCACGAGCGCACCCUUGUACUAGUUGCCAGCAUUAAGUGGGCACUCUAGUGAGACUGCGUGACAACCGGAGGAAGGUGGGGACGACGUCGAUACAUCAUGGCCUUAAGGACCUGGG